GGAAUUGGAGUCCUGGGGAAAGAGGAUCUUGAAAGAUUGAGGCUUGGCAAACACCCCUUAGUCAUUUACUUUCCUGGAGAAACUACCGCAGGACCACAGCUACAGCCUGAUGUGCACUGAACUGCAUCACUUGGGAGUAAACUGCAUAAGCUUUGUGUCAUGCAACAAGCUAGUAGAGCAAGGUGAAUUUGUGGACUCCCCUCUGCAAGAUGCUAUCAGGACAAGCUGUGAAGUUGGAUGUCUGAACCAGAUCAAGAUGAUUUUCUGAACAUCGGUACACAAGUAAGCACUUGCUACCUGAGGGAAGAUCAUCUUCAGCUGUGCUGUGAGUGGAGAC